AGAACGAACGCUGGCGGCAUGCCUAACACAUGCAAGUCGAACGCUUUUGGGGCUUCGGUCCCAAAGGAGUGGCGCACGGGUGAGUAGCGCGUGGGAACCUGCCCUGUUGUGGGGGAUAACCGAGGGAAACUUCGGCUAAUACCGCAUACGCCCGGGGGAAACUCCGGGGAAAGAUUCAUCGCAGCAGGAGGGGCCCGCGUCGGAUUAGGUAGUUGGUGGGGUAACGGCCCACCAAGCCUGUGAUCCGUAGCUGGUCUGAGAGGAUGAUCAGCCACACUGGGACUGAGACACGGCCCAGACUCCUACGGGAGGCAGCAGUGGGGAAUAUUGGACAAUGGGCGCAAGCCUGAUCCAGCAAUGCCGCGUGAGUGAUGAAGGCCUUCGGGUGUAAAGCUCUUUCGCACGCGACGAUGAUGACGGUAGCGUGAGAAGAAGCCCCGGCUAACUUCGUGCCAGCAGCCGC
rnacentral:rRNA from 1 species